GAGGGUAUAGCCCAAGUGGUAGAGCACAUGCUUAGCAUGCACGAGGUCCUGGGUUCAAUCCCCAGUACUGCCU
rnacentral:tRNA from 1 species